UACAGAGGGUGCGAGCGUUGUUCGGAAUUAUUGGGCGUAAAGGGCGCGUAGGCGGUGCGGUAAGUCACCUGUGAAAUCUCCUGGCUCAACUGGGAGCUUGCAGGCGAAACUGCCGUGCUGGAGUGUGGGAGAGGUGAGUGGAAUUCCCGGUGUAGCGGUGAAAUGCGUAGAUAUCUGGAGGAACACCGGUGGCGAAGGCGGCAUCCUGGACCGGCAUUGACGCUGAGUGAGCGAAAGCCAGGGGAGCAAACGGG
rnacentral:rRNA from 1 species